CAGUCGCCGCGGUAAUACGAAGGGUGCAAGCGUUAAUCGGAAUUACUGGGCGUAAAGCGUGCGUAGGCGGUGAGUUAAGUCUGCUGUGAAAUCCCCGGGCUCAACCUGGGAACUGCAUCCAAAACUGGCAAGCUAGAGUAUGGUAGAGGGUGGUGGAAUUUCCUGUGUAGCGGUGAAAUGCGUAGAUAUAGGAAGGAACACCAGUGGCGAAGGCGACCACCUGGACUGAUACUGACACUGAGGUGCGAAAGCGUGGGGAGCAAACAGGAUUAGAUACCCGAGUAGUCCCUGUCUCUUAUAA
rnacentral:rRNA from 1 species